rnacentral:lncRNA from 1 species
UAAUUAAUUAGAAGGUAAGGUUUUAGAUUCCCUCCAUCAUCAUGUAUUCAUUUGUGAAUAACUUAAUAAAUGGUAGGCUUUAUAAGAAAAGGUAGUGCUCAUAAAAAAAAAACCUGUGCCACUGCAUUAAUAAGGUGCAUCUCAUCUUCGAGUGGUACAAAGCUGCAGCUUUUGAUGCUUAAACCGAUCUUUUCAAUUAAGGAAAUGAACUCCAACAGUAUCUUUUUGUGAUUCUUGCACUGGACUCUUAUUAGCUCUUCUUCUCCUGUGAUUUUUACUUGAACUUCGGCAGCUGAUCAGAGCUGCCACCAUCAGAGACAUUCUCACAAGGACGAGGUUUCUUUGUUGGAGAAACAACCGAUUCCUCCGUCGGCUUCCUCUUCUUCACUUCUUCUUCAAGUAACUUCUCCCGUUCUACGAGUUGUUUUAUGCACUUUACUGGACUUCCAAUUACAGAUACCUCGUCCAACUGCAUAGGCAACAAAAACAAAUCUCAGUUCACCAACCAAAGUUGUGGGGUGGAGGCUGGAGGGGAGCCAAUCCAUCCAAUAGUCAUCUUAUUCUAGUACUUUAAUUGGUUCUUUAAGCUACAAAUUCUCCCAGGAUUUACAUUUAAAAUUAACAUCUAGUGUACAGCAGUCCGAUAAAAAAAAAAAAAGGGAAUUUUUAUCCUCCCAACCAUCUUAAGAUCAGAAACUACAGCUGAUGAAGCUGUGAACUGCAGGCACAGCUUCUGUCAUCGUUUUCUUGCCAAUUCAGACAAGCAUUUUGCUGUUGAAAAAUCCAUAUGAUGGUGAGAUUUGUUAAGAUCCUGGAGAAAAGGAAAACAACCGAGAAAUAUUCGUCGGUUGAUAAACAAAAUCUAUGCCUUUAGUCCUAGAUCUAUGUUAUGUGCCUCGAAAUUUCAACCCUAAAUAAGUACGUGGGUUUUGGAAUGAAAAAAAAGAAAAAGGAUCUAACGAUGGAUUCACUUGCUAAAAUAAGAGAAAAUUAAGCGAAUAACAAAAUGAGGCUAAAUCUAGUCAAAUGAAUUUCAACCGGCAGAAAUCCCCAUUAUAUUACAAAAGCACGUUGGCAUGAUUAACACAUCAGACAUCUUACCAUGAAAAAACAGGCGCAAAACACAUAUGCUGUCAGAUCACAUGGUACAGGUACUAUCUUAGGACUUGGGAAAAUCAUGAUUCAGAUAUAGUAAUAGAAGUAUGUGAAGCAGAGACCACACAGGACAUCAAGAGUGGGUGGAGAGGGUUAC